rnacentral:rRNA from 1 species
GAUGAACGCUAGCGGCAGGCCUAAUACAUGCAAGUCGAACGGGAUUGAGGAGCUUGCUCCUCAUGAGAGUGGCGCACGGGUGCGUAACACGUAUGUAACCUACCUUAAUCAGGGGAAUAGCCGCGCGAAAGAGAGAUUAACACCGCAUAAAAUCAAACUAUGGCAUCAUAGACUGAUCAAAUAUUUAUAGGAUUAAGAUGGGCAUGCGGAACAUUAGCUAGUUGGUAAGGUAACGGCUUACCAAGGCAACGAUGUUUAGGGGAUCUGAGAGGAUGGCCCCCCACACUGGUACUGAGACACGGACCAGACUCCUACGGGAGGCAGCAGUAAGGAAUAUUGGUCAAUGGGCGGAAGCCUGAACCAGCCAUGCCGCGUGCAGGAAGACGGCCCUACGGGUUGUAAACUGCUUUUGUACCGGAAUAAACCUUUCUACGUGUAGGAAGCUGAAUGUACGGUAAGAAUAAGGAUCGGCUAACUCCGUGCCAGCCGCCGCUGUAA